rnacentral:rRNA from 1 species
CCUACGGGUGGCAGCAGUGGGGAAUAUUGCGCAAUGGGCGAAACCCUGAUGCAGCGACGCCGCGUGAGGGAAGAAGUAUUUCGGGACGUAAAGCUCUAUCACAAGGGAAGAAAAUGACAGUAUCUGAUGAAGAAGCGCCGGCUAACUACGUGCAAGCAACCGCGGGAAUACGGGGGGGUAAAGCGUUUACCGGAUAUACUGGGUGUAAAGGGCGCGUAGACGGUGGCGCAGGUCUGGGGUGAAAUCCCAUGGCUUAACCAUGGAAGUGCGUUGGAAGCUGUGCAGCUAGAGUGCAGGAGAGGUAAGCGGAAUUCCUUGUGUAGCGGUGAAAUGCGUAGAUAUUAGGAGGAACACCAGUGGCGAAGGCGGCUUACUGGACUGUAACUGACGUUGAGGCGCGAAAGCGUGGGGAGCAAACAGGAUUAGAUACCCGAGUAGUC